rnacentral:misc_RNA from 1 species
GAUGAAGAACGUAGCGAAAUGCGAUAAGUAGUGUGAAUUGCAGAAUUCCGUGAAUCAUCGAAUCUUUGAACGCACAUUGCGCCUUCUGGUAUUCCGGAAGGCAUGCCUGUUCGAGAGUCAUUAACAACCGUUUCGAUCCCUUUCUUUCAGAAAUUACAAAGAGGAAAAGGGUUUGGUUAUGGUGGAGGAGGGAAAGGGAGCGUUUAGCCUGUAAAAAAAGAGGCUGUGUUCCGCCUCCCCCCCAAAAUUGUACAGGCGGUCGUGUGCGCCCACGCAUCGAGGUGUUGUAAAAGCUGCCACGGCACUUUUCACCUGUGCAGUGCGAGAUUGGCCAGCCAGUUUAAAAACCCCUCCAAACAAUCAAAGGUUGACCUCGGAUCAGGUAGGGAUACCCGCUGAACUUAAGCAUAUCAAUAAGCGGAGGA